CACCCAGCCCCGGGUCCGCGGCUUCUCCGGCUCGGGGCGCGGGGUGCGCGUGUGCUUGCGCAAGGGUUGGCUGUGGCUGGGCGACCGUCCCCGGGGAGGAGCGACAGUCCCCACCUGGAGAUGAAGGCGCGGCCGCGUGCGUGCCUGGAGACGGCUCUGGGCGCCGGAGCCUCCUGGGUUUGUGCUUGGGGUUGAUCAAGGUGGUUAAGCGCCUGUAAGUGUGGGAAAACUACUUAACAGGAAAACUACUGUGUGCGUGUUUGCCUGAAUGAGAAAUUCUGUAGCCUGGAGCUGUGUACCCAACAGGCAGCCGGCUCAGUCUGUGUAUAUCGGGCGAGUGUCUGGAAUGUACACCUGGUACCUCUCCGCUGGUAUCCACAGUUUAAGAAAGUAAACAGAAGCUUUCAAGGAGGUAUAUGGUUCUGCAGGGUUUCCAGUGGAUCUUACUCCUGCAAGUAGACAAAGUGAGAGUGCUAUUGAACCACAAAUUCUGGCUGCUGCCUGGCAGUUCCAUUGACUCUUGUGCCCAGGGAUCAGCAGAUGAGAAGAGGAAUUACCAUACUGGCAGGAAUAAUUCGCCCUGGGGAGCAGGAAGAGGCUUUUGUACAACGGGGACAGAAAAAAACAUGUGCAGAACCCAGGUGAUCCAUUUGUUGCUUACUAGUUCUCCACGGACUCCUUGUAGCUAUGAACAUUUGCAUCAGCAGCCACACUUUGAGAAGGGCUCAGACUCUCCAGGAAUGAAAGUUUGGGUCACACCACCAGGAAAACUACCAGACCCUGCUGCUAUGAUAGCUUGGGGUGAGGUGAAUUAAAAGAUGUAGAGAAGAAAGGCAGAAGAUAAGCAUUUGCAGCUCCUUGACCAACUGCAGAGACAGAGUUCCUAGUCGUCUUAUUAACUUUACUUUUUUAAGCUUUCCCUCAAGAAGAGAGGCCCCCAAAUGUGUGGAGCUGCUCCCCAAAUGUGUGGAGAAGGCACUCUUUGGAAUGGAAGGGGAGAUGUGUUGGCCAUGGCUAUGGACUGCUCAGAUUUCCCUUCAAGAGAACUUUUUGCAAGCAGGGAGAUGGGUGAACUUUCUCUAGCAACUGUACCUUUGGGUCCCAGCAGGGUUUAUGUUGAGGCAAUGAUCUACUGGGACUAUCUCCAGCCAACAGCUGCAUGGUGACCUAAAGACUCUCCCCACCUACUCCUGCUUCUUCUAGCUUUUAUCUUUCACAUGUGUUCCCCUCAUAAUUCUUUUGUAUGUCUAAUUCUGUCCUGGCAUCUGCUUUUUGGAGACCCUGAACUGAUACAUCCAGAUCUUUUUAAAAUGCACACACAUCCACACACUCAAACACAUGUACAGGUGAGCCUUGGACAAAGAGAGAUGAAGGUCUGAUUCAAGCUUAAUAAAAUUUAUUUGAAAUUUAGAUUUCAUGAUUAUCAAAAAGGAACAAAAAUUCUCUCUGUACUGAUAAAAAAUUCCCAAGAUCUAUCAGUUAGAAAAAAACAAGGUACAGACCAGUAUAUGUAACAUGCUGUAUUUGUAUGUAUGUAAAAACUUGUAAAGAUACAAGGAAAAAUGUAGGGCAGCAGGUUGGCAAUGCUCAUUUUAAUUUAUUUUAUUUUAAACUUUGAAAUUGUACUGCUUAUUAAUAACUAAAUUGAAAUUCCAAUCUUCAGCAUCUUAGCACCUUAUUUCAAUUUAUUUUUCUAUUUACACAGCACCUAGUUCAUUGUUAUUGUUUGGUACAAACAUCCCCAUACAGCUAGUACUAUUUACAUACUAAAUUCAUAGCUCAAAUCAAAACACUGUGGAAGAAUUAUGCAGAUAUAGACAAAAUGUAAAUUCACUGGUUUAGACACUGAAUUGAAUGGAGAAGUGAAUGGA